AUUGAACGCUGGCGGCAGGCCUAACACAUGCAAGUCGAACGAGUGGCGGACGGGUGAGUAAUGUCUGGGCAACUGCCUGAUGGAGGGGGAUAACUACUGGAAACGGUAGCUAAUACCGCAUACCAUCGGAUGUGCCCAGAUGGGAGUAGCUAGUCGGUGGGGUAACGGCUCACCUAGGCGACGAUCCCUAGCGGGUCUGAGAGGAUGACCAGCAACACUGGAACUGAGAAACGGUCCAGACUCCGAAGGGAGGCAGCAGUGGGGAAUAUUGCAGAAGGGGCGGAAGCCUGAUGCAGCCAUGCCGCGUGUAUGAAGAAGGCCUUCGGGGUGUAAAGUACGUUCAGCGGGGAGGCGUUACCCGCAGAAGAAGCACCGGCUAACUCCGUGCCAGCAGCCGCGGUAAUAC
rnacentral:rRNA from 1 species